rnacentral:rRNA from 1 species
GAUGAACGCUGGCGGCGUGCUUAACACAUGCAAGUCGAACGAGAAGUGAAGACGGAAACCUUCGGGCGGAAGGCUUUAUUUCGAGUGGCGGACGGGUGAGUAACGCGUGGGUAACCUGCCUCAUGCAGGGGGAUAACAGUUGGAAACGACUGUUAAUACCGCAUAAGACCACAGCACCGCAUGGUGCGGGGGUAAAAACUCCGGUGGUAUGAGAUGGACCCGCGUUCGAUUAGCCAGUUGGCGGGGUAACGGCCCACCAAAGCGACGAUCGAUAGCCGAUCUGAGAGGAUGACCGGCCACAUUGGGACUGAGACACGGCCCAAACUCCUACGGGAGGCAGCAGUGGGGAAUAUUGCACAAUGGGGGAAACCCUGAUGCAGCGACGCCGCGUGAGUGAAGAAGUAUUUCGGUAUGUAAAGCUCUAUCAGCAGGGAAGAAAAUGACGGUACCUGAGGAAGAAGCCCCGGCUAACUACGUG